GUGUGUGUGUGUCCUUUUUAGCUUGAAAAACUGCAGGCCCUGGGUGUAAGGGCAAUGCUCUUGACAGCAAACACCUGGGUGUCCGAGGUGUUACUGCCCCGUUGCCACUUGUCGGCGAACGCUACUACAUGUGUGGACAGAAUGCGGGACAUUUAUGGACUUCUUGUUCACGACUGGGUCCUACCAGAUGCCACACGCCAGUUGGAUGAACCCUCAUCAGCCCCAGUCGAACAACCAACUGGACCAGUAGCUCCACCAGAUCCCCAGCAAACACUGGCUCCACCUGAUCCCCGAAGGGCCCCAACUGGACCAGUAAUGGCCCCACCAGACCCAGUGGAGGUUGUCCCUCAGCAACCUCCACUACAUCAGUGAAGUUCCUGACUAGGCCACCAGCAGCCCCAACUGGACCAUCAACCUCUGGUUCCCAUUCCUCAGAAGGAACUCCAGCUGCCCCAGUUGCUUUAGAAAAAGUAAUAGAUGACAUUGUGAAAGAAGGCUGUCCUGCUCCCAGUGCAGUGCUGAAACGGAAAAGGAAAGGUGUGUUGUAAUGUCAAUCCAUAAUUGUCUGAAUAUGGUUUUAAAAAAAAUAUAUAUACUGUAUAUAUAAUUGAAGUAUACCACAAUGAAGUAAUCAGAUAUUUUUGUCCAUAAUACUUUUAGAGAGUCCAGUCAGCACACAGUCAUAGAGGAGUAAAACGUAUUCACACCGACCCGAGAGGAUAAAAUCCUAAUGAAAUAAAUGAACACUUGAUUAAUGUAGUAGUUGAUCAAUAGUUGAUUCAUUGUUGCCACUCUAAAUGAAUGUGCUUACAGUUUGAAUGCUCCACCUUUCAUUUUAAAUAUGUCCUGUAGUGUGGGAUUUGCAUUGUCCAGUCUUGGUCAUCACUCAGUCUCAGUUUAGAUGUUCUUAAGUAAGAGCAUAAGCUGACAGUGAAUGAGACUGUGAUCUUUUAUUUUCCCCACUGGUCUCAUUGCUACACAUUUCCCUUAAUUCAUACAGUAAGUGUGUCCAUUCUUUGUAAACAGACACGUCUACUGACACAUGAUUUUGGUGUGAUCUUGGUUUUCAAAGACAAAAAAAAUACCCUAGUCUCUGCUGUGAAGUGCUCUACUCUUCUAUGAAACAGUCAUUUGAAUUGAUUUUGAUUCAUUUGAGCACUGAUGACUGCCCAUAUAUAUUUAUCCUCUCAUCCAUCUCUAUAGUCCAUUGAUUACAGUCAUUUACCAAUGAUGCAUGCAAGCUCUGUACCAGAAUAACUACAUAUCUUCCCUUUCAGAAUGCCCACAUACAGUAUCAGGGAGCAAAGAGUUCUACCCUGUGAAGAGGGUUGCCUAAUGCAAAGUUUUAAAGGUUCAAUAAUCCCACACAGAGUCAUUCACCUGCUGACGUUUCCUAGAACUCUCAUGUUAGAGAAUCUACAGUCAUAAAGUGCUGAUAGUCUUUAUGUAAUCUGUGUAAUAAUCCUGAAAGAGUAUUCAAGACGGAGGUAUAGCCAAAGAUUUGAACUGAAUAGGGACAAAAAUUGCAACUGGUGGAGUGGGAGCCGUGCAAGUCCUGGUAUGUAUGACUUGUGAUCACAGCAUAUCUUAUUUGAUACCAACACUGAGAACAUUCACAUGCACACCAAUAAUCUUUGUUUAUGAUACUGGCAAAGUGCUCUCUGUAGCCCGACGUGUGCCUCCAAAAAAUGUCGUCAUCAGUCGAGGCAACUGAGACCAAUGGAGACCGCGGUGCUGUCAUUAGUCAGUUAAC